GCUUACGGCCAUACCAGCCUGGGUACGCCCGAUCUCGUCUGAUCUCAGAAGCUAAGCAUGGUCGGGCCUGGUUAGUACUUGGAUGGGAGACCGCCUGGGAAUACCAGGUGCUGUAAGCA
rnacentral:rRNA from 1 species